rnacentral:rRNA from 1 species
AUUGAACGCUGGCGGCAGGCCUAACACAUGCAAGUCGAGCGGAUGAAGGGAGCUUGCUCCUGGAUUCAGCGGCGGACGGGUGAGUAAUGCCUAGGAAUCUGCCUGGUAGUGGGGGAUAACGUCCGGAAACGGGCGCUAAUAUCGCAUACGUCCUGAGGGAGAAAGUGGGGGAUCUUCGGACCUCACGCUAUCAGAUGAGCCUAGGUCGGAUUAGCUAGUUGGUGGGGUAAAGGCCUACCAAGGCGACGAUCCGUAACUGGUCUGAGAGGAUGAUCAGUCACACUGGAACUGAGACACGGUCCAGACUCCUACGGGAGGCAGCAGUGGGGAAUAUUGGACAAUGGGCGAAAGCCUGAUCCAGCCAUGCCGCGUGUGUGAAGAAGGUCUUCGGAUUGUAAAGCACUUUAAGUUGGGAGGAAGGGCAGUAAGUUAAUACCUUGCUGCUUUGACGUUACCAACAGAAUAAGCACCGGCUAACUUCGUG